UGUGCAAUUAACGGACGACUAUUUAAAAU
rnacentral:piRNA from 1 species